rnacentral:sRNA from 1 species
AUUGGGCAUGGUGGUUCACGCCUGUAAUCCCAGCAGCUUGGGAGGCUGAGGCAGGAGGAUCACAAGUUCAGGGCCAGCCUCAGAUACUUAGCAAGGUUCUACGCAACUUAGUGAGACCCUGUCUCAA